rnacentral:rRNA from 1 species
UAGCGCGGUGGUCCCACCUGACCCCAUGCCGAACUCAGAAGUGAAACGCCGUAGCGCCGAUGGUAGUGUGGGGUCUCCCCAUGCGAAGAGUAGGGAACUGCCAGGC